rnacentral:rRNA from 1 species
GACAGAGGAUGCAAGCGUUAUCCGGAAUGAUUGGACGUAAAGCGUCUGUAGGUGGCUUUUUAAGUCCGCCGUCAAAUCCCAGGGCUCAACCCUGGACAGGCGGUGGAAACUACCAAGCUGGAGUACGGUAGGGGCAGAGGGAAUUUCCGGUGGAGUGGUGAAAUGCGUAGAGAUCGGAAAGAACACCAACGGGCGAAAGCACUCUGCUGGGCCGACACUGACACUGAGGAGCGAAAGCAUGGGGGAGCGAACAGG